UACGGGGGGUGCAAGCGUUGUCCGGAAUCACUGGGCGUAAAGGGCGCGUAGGCGGCUCAUGAAGGCUGUGGUGAAAGUCCGGGGCUCAACCUCGGAUCGGCCGUGGCGACUCGUGGGCUGGAGCACUGUAGAGGCGGGUGGAAUUCCGGGUGUAGCGGUGGAAUGCGUAGAGAUCCGGAAGAACACCAGUGGCGAAGGCGGCCCGCUGGGCAGUGGCUGACGCUGGAGGCGCGACAGCGUGGGGAGCAAACAGG
rnacentral:rRNA from 1 species